rnacentral:lncRNA from 1 species
GAGUUAGUGUGUGAUUAUGUUCAGAGAGGGUUUUUAGACAAGUUCAGGCUGAUCGGAAGCGUAGUACCCUACGUCCUGUGUGUGAUGUUGCUUAUAGUUGUCUAUCUGUACGAGAGCCAGCCUUUUAUAGGUCAAGCCCACGAGACGGGAUGAGGCGAGCCUCGCUCUCCAAUCCUUCCCUUUACACUGUGUGCGUGAACGUGGCCGCCCAAU